GAUGAACGCUGGCGGCGUGCCUAAUACAUGCAAGUCGAGCGAACAGACGAGGAGCUUGCUCCUCUGACGUUAGCGGCGGACGUGUGAGUAACACGUGGAUAACCUACCUAUAAGACUGGGAUAACUUCGGGAAACCGGAGCUAAUACCGGAUAAUAUAUUGAACCGCAUGGUUCAAUAGUGAAAGACGGUUUUGCUGUCACUUAUAGAUGGAUCCGCGCCGCAUUAGCUAGUUGGUAAGGUAACGGCUUACCAAGGCAACGAUGCGUAGCCGACCUGAGAGGGGGAUAGGCCACACUGGAACUGAGACACGGUCCAGACUCCUAAGGGAGGCAGCAGUAGGGAAUCUUCCGCAAUGGGCGAAAGCCUGACGGAGCAACGCCGAGUGAGUGAUGAAGGUCUUCGGAUCGUAAAACUCUGUUAUUAGGGAAGAACAAAUGUGUAAGUAACUAUGCACGUCUUGACGGUACCUAAUCAGAAAGCCACGGCUAACUACGUG
rnacentral:rRNA from 1 species